GAGGGCACAGCUCAGUGGUAGAGUGCAUGCCUAGCAUGCACGAGGUCCUCGGUUCAAUCCCCAGUCCCUCCA
rnacentral:tRNA from 1 species